rnacentral:lncRNA from 1 species
ACGAAUCUGAUUUGCCACUGCUGCUCAUCGCCGACUCUCGUCCCCGCUGCCACUGUCACCUACCGCUGUCACCUACUAUCAACUGUUGCUGCUGUCACGGUGCUCCCUUGCUGCCAUCUGACUACUGUUGUGAGCUGCUGCUGGUAACUGCUAUUUUUGCAGAGUUAUUUGACUUGGUAAAUGGUAUAAUAUAAUCUGUGCUAGUUAUGAUUGCAUAUUAACAAAGUUAUUAAUGCUUGAUCAAUUGC